rnacentral:lncRNA from 1 species
CCGCGCGGGGACACUAACCCACCCUCACCUCCGAGAACAGCGCGGCUAGGUGCUCCAGAGGUGCCGCGGGCAGGUCCCCGCAGACCACUGCGCCGCGGAAGCUGUCGGGCCCUGGAGGCUUGGGCCCGGUGCGAAGGAAAAAGAGCGCCUUAGCGCCAGCCAGGCCCGACUCAGGUCCCACCUCCAGCCCGGGUCGUAUUGCCAGGCCCCUGGGCCCGGGACGCACCACCAGCAGCGGCCGCGGCCCCUCGGCAGCAUCGCGGCCCAGGAAGGCCUGGAGCAGCUGCUCCGCCUCAGCACUCCCCGCGCAACGCUCCCAGGCGCCCGCAGCCGGCCGCAGGCUCAUGGCCACGUAGGUCCCCAGGAGUCGCAGUCGUCGGUCGGCGCCGGGUUCCCCAUCCGCGUUCUCCGCCGCAAGCGCGGCCCGCUCCUCCGCGAGCCGCAUCGCGCGCGGCCUCCAGCUGCAUCGGUUUCCCUAGCGACGGGGACGCGGCCAGGACUCACUCCUCUGCUCCCUUCCUAUUGGGCACUGACCCCUGGUCCCGCCCCUUCCAGGCUAAUAAGAUGUACUCUCAACAUAUGGAGGACACAAGGCUGGUUGAUUCAGCUAGGACAUAUUUCUGUUGAUGCCAUUAUGCUUUGCCAAGCCACUAUAUUCUGUAAACAAAAUAGAAUUUUGCAUCUUCUUAUGGAUGACCAAUUAACUCUGGCAGUCCAAAAACAAUCCUGUUCACUCUCAGAACA